rnacentral:rRNA from 1 species
GGGGAAUAUUGGACAAUGGGCGAAAGCCUGAUCCAGCAAUGCCGCGUGAGUGAUGAAGGCCUUAGGGUUGUAAAGCUCUUUUACCAGGGAUGAUAAUGACAGUACCUGGAGAAUAAGCUCCGGCUAACUCCGUGCCAGCAGCCGCGGUAAUACGGAGGGAGCUAGCGUUGUUCGGAAUUACUGGGCGUAAAGCGCGCGUAGGCGGCUACUCAAGUCAGAGGUGAAAGCCCGGGGCUCAACCCCGGAACUGCCUUUGAAACUAGGUAGCUAGAAUCUUGGAGAGGUCAGUGGAAUUCCGAGUGUAGAGGUGAAAUUCGUAGAUAUUCGGAAGUACACCAGUGGCGAAGGCGACUGACUGGACAAGUAUUGACGCUGAGGUGCGAAAGCGUGGGGAGCAAAC